GCUGGGUGCAGUGGUGUGUACCUGUAAUCCCAGCUACUCGGGAGGCUGAGACAGGAGAAUGGCUAGAACCUGGGAGGUGGAGGCUGCAGUGAGCUGAGAUCACACCACUGCACUCCAACCUGGGUGACAGAGCCAGACUCCGUCUCAA
ensembl:misc_RNA Metazoa_SRP Metazoan signal recognition particle RNA